rnacentral:SRP_RNA from 2 species
GCUGGGCGUGGUGGCGGGCGCCUGUAAUCCCAGCUACUCAGGGGGCUGAGGCAGGAGAAUUGCUUGGGCCCAGGAGGCGGAGGUUGCAGUGAACAGAGAUGGAGCCACUGAACUCCAGCCUGGGCCACAGAGUGAGAUUUCGUCUCAA